rnacentral:ncRNA from 1 species
AAUAGGCUUGGUCCUGGCCUUUCUAUUAGCUCUUAGCAGGAUUACACAUGCAAGCAUCCCCGCUCCAGUGAAGACGCCCUACAAAUCAUCAUGACCAAGAGGAGCAAGCAUCAAGCACGCACACGCAGCUCAAAACGCUUUGCCUAGCCACACCCCCACGGGAGACAGCAGUGACAAAUAUUUAGCAAUAAACGAAAGUUCAACUAAGCCAUGCUAUAUUUAGGGUUGGUCAAUUUCGUGCCAGCCACCGCGGUUACACGAUUAACCCCAGCUAAUAGGGAUCGGCGUAGAGGGUGUUUAAGAUCUAACAUAAUAAAGCUAAACUCCACCUAAACUGUAAAACCCUAGCUAAUGUAAAAUAAACUACGAAAGUGGCUUUAAAGCUUCUGAACACACAAUAGCCAAGACCCAAACUGGGAUUAGACACCCCACUAUGCUUGGCCCUAAACCUCAGUAGUUAGAUAACAAAACUACUCGCCAGAAUACUACAAGCAACAGCUUGAAACUCAAAGGACUUGACGGUGCUUUACAUCCCCCUAGAGGAGCCUGUUCCAUAAUCGAUAAACCCCGAUCCACCCUACCCUCUCUUGCUCAGCCUAUAUACCGCCAUCUUCAGCAAACCCUAAUGAAGGCCACAAAGUGAGCGCAAACGCCGCCGCCGCGAAUACGUUAGGUCAAGGUGUAGCCCAUGAGACGGCAAAAAAUGGGCUACAUUUUCUAUUUCAGAAAACCCACGAAAACCCUUAUGAAACUUAAGGGUCCAAGGAGGAUUUAGCAGUAAAUUAAGAAUAGAGUGCUUAAUUGAACCAGGCCAUAAAGCGCGCACACACCGCCCGUCACUCCUCUCAAAUAUAUUUAAGGAAUAUCCUAACUAAACGCCCUAAUAUUUAUAUAGAGAGGAUAAGUCGUAACAUGGUAAGCGUACUGGAAGGUGCGCUUGGAUAAAU